GCACGACGCACGAUGAAGGCCAAACUCGGGCCGAUCACCAAAACGGUCGCACGACUCAAAAAUCGGCUCAAAAUGGGCCAAAAAUCGCACAGUGUAAGCCCAGCAUUAACGGUGGCAGGUGACAAAAAAGGAAGGUAAAAAACGUCAUGAAUGUUCUUUAGAAAUGUGGCUCCUCUCCGUGAGGUUGUAAGGAAAAACAUGGAUGCUUCCUGAAGGUGCAGUCAUGCCCUGGAAGGUGCCCAGUGCUCUCUGAGCAGGUAAGAGUUUCCUGUGUCACCCUGUUCCGACAAAGACCCGGCAGAGGAGCUUGAAGGAAAGACCUUUACUCCCAAUAAUCUGGGCCUGAACACAAUCCACACAGCUGCAGGUACAUCAGCCAAAUCACGCUGCUUUAUGCUGUCAGGUAAAAACCCUGUGAUCAUGGACAGGAAACCCUAUACGAGCUACACUGGGGAGGAAGAGGUCGAUUUAAACAGCACGAGGCCUCCACCCGAAGCACAAUCAUGGAGGGUGGAGGGGGUAAUGUCAUCAUGCCUUAACGUAAGUUAAUGAAGCUCUUCCAUCACCUGACCUCUGGAGGGCGCCAUAGAUCAUGGAGAACAAAGAUGUGCAGACGUCCUGGAAAAACCAUCUCUGGACUGAGAAGGGAGCCUAAGGGUUCAUCUUUCACCAUCUUACAUCAUCUUACUCUCUGUGAAUGUGUUCAUGACCACUGAUCAAUGGUCAUGACAAUUUGCAUAUGAAUGACCAUAAACUGACCUCAUAUUGUUAGUCAGUGGUGCUAGUUUCAGUCAUUAUGCACAUGUACUGUUUAUAAGGUUGGAAAUCUGCUGUCAGCUGAGACUGAAGAAGUCACCUGGAUGAUGAUGAAACA